CCACUGUCACCUGCAGGACAAGUGAACAGUGAGGCCACGAGGCACCUCCUGCCUGUGUGCAGGGCAGGGACCCUGCUGCCACAGGGCACAGGAGCACAGGAGCUCCUGAAGAUACCUGGAAGAAUUUGCUGCAUUUCUGGCCCCAGAGGCUGUUAUGGAGAACACUAGUUGAGUUGGAUUGAAACAGAAGGACCCAUUUCAUCACUAACCACCUCUAAAUUACUUAAUUUCUUGGCUGGAUGGCAGAGAAAUAUCUUUACAAAACAGGUAAUUUUUUUACUUAGGACAUCUAAGAGAAGUAAUUGGAUUGCCUGAUUCUCCAAGCUGUCUUUCAUCUGGAUCCAAAGGCUGCCACACAAGCAUCUAUACAUACAUCAUCCUGUCUGUUUCUUCAGGAAGACCUUCCAGAAAAUCUCCUUUUCUCUGACCAUCCAUGGCUGUGGGCUCCCUGUGCAGCUGUCCUCACACAUUGCACAGUGCUUUAAGACCCUGAAAAUGCACAGGAAAAAAGCACUCCCCACUUUGCUCUGGCAUCUUUCAAAACCUGCCAGGCUGUGGCAGAUUCCCCAGCCUGUUUUGGGGAGCCCACACCGGCAGAGAGUCCUGUCAUACCUGGAAAGCACAGGAAGGUCCCAGAGCUCAUGUCUUCCUCUAUGAGACCCACAGCAUUUUCACCACCUCCAAAGUAGCUGCUUCUCUAUUUUUCUAUUUUUGUGUAAACACAAGCUGCCCGUUGGUAAACUCUGAGCUUAAACAUCUAAGUGCUGUCAGGAGGAAUCUACACUUGCUUCAAGGCAAUUAGGUGACUCAUCACUGUGUCCUUUCUUUGGCUGUAUGCAGAAAAUCAAAUCUCCCAUGGCUGGAUGAAGCCAACUCCUGGCCAUCCUUCUAUGAUCAAGCCCAAUUCAAAUGCCUGGAAACACUUCCCAGACUGGGCUUAGGGAUGUGCUCCUCCACACAGAGCCUGUUGGAGGUGUUGAACUGCAAGCUGUGUGAGCCUGAGGAAAUGUACAGAGCCAGUGAAAGGAAUGCUGCAUACUCCAGACAUUUUAGAGUACAGCAUGAAAUAGCAUCUGGAUUUCUUCACAGACUUUUUUUUUCAUGUCUGUGAAAACUCUGAUUCCAUAUUUACUGAGAAAUAACUAAGUAGCAGCCUCUUACUCUGGUGAGACAAUUCCAUACUGGGAGAUUUACUUUGAGUUUGAAACUGCCAGCUAGAUAUGGUUUGAGGGUAUUGGUUUUGAAGGCAGGUAUUUAUCCCUACAUACUCCUUCCACAUCCCUUCUUAAAAGAUGCACCA